rnacentral:rRNA from 1 species
UACGUAGGGGGCAAGCGUUGUCCGGAAUCAUUGGGCGUAAAGCGCGCGUAGGCGGCCCGGUAAGUCCGCUGUAAAAGUCCAGGGCUCAACCCUGGGAUGCCGGUCGAUACUGCCGGACUAGAGUUCGGAAGAGGCGAGUGGAAUUCCCGGUGUAGCGGUGAAAUGCGCAGAUAUCGGGAGGAACACCAAUGGCGAAGGCAGCUCGCUGGGACGUUACUGACGCUGAGACGCGAAAGCGUGGGGAGCAAAGCAGG